CACAGCAAACUCUGGCCUCUCGCAACACACACUGGGAAUAGGACACGUUUUCGAUUUCUCCAGAACUAAAAUUCUGGAGAAGGUCGAGAAGGAGAACGCGAGAUGUACGACCGAGAUGAUGCACAUCAAAAUGAUGGGGACGGAGGCUGUGAACCUCCAACGGGAGUCUGCUUCUCUCUCGUCGUCGUACAAUCGGCUGCUGCUAAAACUAAAAGAGAGUCAGCCGAAAAAAUCACGGCACGACUCUCAGUUAGCUGACACGAUCCAGACACUCCAGCAGGAGUAGCCUGGCCUGGAAUAGUUUUUGUGUCUGAAGAUGGCCGAAACCAAGAAGUAGGCCGAAACGUAACGAAGAAGAAUUUUGUUUCAUUUCUCACCGAAAAACAUCAACUAAAGCCAAAAAACAAAAA